UCUCCGUUGGUGAACCAGCGGAGGGAUCAUUGCUGGAAGCGUCUCACGGCGCACCCAGAUACCCUUUGUGAACCAUACCUCUCUGUUGCCUCGGCGCAUGCCGGCCCCCCCGGGGGCCCCUCGGAGACGAGGAGCAGGCACGCCGGCGGCCAAGUUAACUCUUGUUUUUACACUGAAACUCUGAGAAAAAAACACAAAUGAAUCAAAACUUUCAACAACGGAUCUCUUGGUUCUGGCAUCGAUGAAGAACGCAGC
rnacentral:misc_RNA from 1 species